UGCGUAGGCGGAUAUUUAAGUCGGGUGUGAAAUCCCCGGGCUCAACCUGGGAACUGCACUCGAUACUGAAUGUCUAGAGUAUGGUAGAGGAAAGUGGAAUUUCCGGUGUAGCGGUAAAAUGCGUAGAUAUCGGAAAGAACAUCAGUGGCGAAGGCGGCUUUCUGGACCUAUACUGACGCUGAGGUACGAGAGCGUGGGGAGCAAACA
rnacentral:rRNA from 1 species